UCCAGACUCCUACGGGAGGCAGCAGUGGGGGAUAUUGCACAAUGGGGGGAACCCUGAUGCAGCGACGCCGCGUGGGUGAGGAAGUACCCCGGUAUGUAAAGCCCUUUCGGCAGGGAAGAAAAUGACGGUACCUGAAGAAGAAGCCCCGGCUAACUACGUGCCAGCAGCCGCGGUAAUACGUAGGGGGCAAGCGUUAUCCGGAUUUACUGGGUGUAAAGGGGGCGCAGACGGCGAUGCAAGCCAGGAGUGAAAGCCCGGGGCCCAACCCCGGGACUGCUCUUGGAACUGCGUGGCUGGAGUGCAGGAGGGGCAGGCGGAAUUCCUGGUGUAGCGGUGAAAUGCGUAGAUAUCAGGAGGAACACCGGUGGCGAAGGCGGCCUGCUGGACUGCAACUGACGUUGAGGCCCGAAAGCGUGGGGAGCAAACAGGAUUAGAUACCCCAGUAGU
rnacentral:rRNA from 1 species